GGAUGCUCCGCGUAAAAAAAAAGGCGCCACAGGAGCACCCGAGGCGAUCGGCUAGUGGUUCAUCGCCGCCAUCUCUCGGUGGCCGGAUCCUCCCCCGCGGCGGCGCUGGCUCGUGCUUCGCUCCUAACCAGCGGAACGGAGUAGCGAACUGGUGGCAAGUUGAAGCAACAAUUGAUCAGUAGAGGCGUGUGGAUCGGCCCAGGUGGAACGCACAGCUUAAGAAGUAACACUAAUAGCAUAUUAGUGAGUCACAUACUGCUUGCCGAAAUCUAGUCAGACAAUGAAGGGCGACCAUCAUGUUAAGAGCAACUUCAGUGCAUCUGUGUUUUUUAUUUGAAGUUGUGCAACAUAAGACUACUAACAAAAAUUGAUGAAAGGGGUGAGCGAAAACCAAGAGAAAUUUCAUGAAGCAGGGUCAAGGCGUUCCUUACCAUAUGCAUUGCCGAUCUUGUCUGUAGUUUGGAAAAUAGCUGUCACAGCUACACAUAAGAUCAUUAAUGCAUAGUUGAUCUCGG